rnacentral:snoRNA from 1 species
AAAGCAGGUAUUGUGUGUAUCGGCUUUGUGCUUUCUGAUGCAUUUAUGCCGAAAGUGUUUCCUGCAACAUUUAACACGGGGUGAAUGGGCAGUCAGGCCUCUGUUUGUUAUUGUCAUCAGGGCAUUGACAAUCAUUUUCCCUAAAAUU